UUCCAUAAAGCAAAAACACAAUUUGAUAGAUUGCUAGAAAUGGUAGUGAGUAGUGAAUGGUGAUAGGGACAAGUGCACCUUAUUGGUGGGGGAGGGAAUUGGCCCUUAUUUUAACAGUGCAUGCACACAUUAAGAGCAUGGGGAGAUACUCUGUCAGGACCAAUCCUCUCCAUCUCUUGCUUGCUUGCCAUUUGUUUACCUUCUCAUUCCACUCUUUCCCAUCAUUAUCAUCUUCCUUU
rnacentral:lncRNA from 1 species